rnacentral:ncRNA from 1 species
ACCGCCCAUCGCUACUAUCGAUUGAAUGGUUUAAUGAGGUCGUUGGAUUGAUGUCGUUGUAGUGGCUUUGCCGCUCGACUGAUGCUGAGAAGAUGAAUUAAUUUAACUAUUUAAGGGAAGUAAAAGUUGUAACAAGAUUUCCGUAGGUGAACCUGUGGGAG